rnacentral:rRNA from 1 species
UACGUAGGUGGCAAGCGUUGUCCGGAUUUAUUGGGCGUAAAGGGCUCGUAGGCGGUUUGUCGCGUCGGGAGUGAAAACACCGGGCUUAACUCGGUGCUUGCUUCCGAUACGGGCAGACUGGAGGUAUGCAGGGGAGAACGGAAUUCCUGGUGUAGCGGUGAAAUGCGCAGAUAUCAGGAGGAACACCGAUGGCGAAGGCGGUUCUCUGGGCAUUACCUGACGCUGAGGAGCGAAAGUGUGGGGAGCGAACAGG